GGUGAAGCGGGAUGGCACACCAAAGGUGCAGGGCAGGCGACGGAGGAUCCGGAGGUCAAGGCGUGGGACAGGCAGCCUCUGCCGUGUUGCCCGGCAGGCUUUUGCGAUGAACUCAGCAGACUCUAUCUAAGGCUGGCAAAGUGGCGGCGACGUCUAAAAGAGUCAGGAGGAUAUUUGCGUGUGUGGACGUGGAGAGAGGCCGCCUGGAUUAUGAAGGGAAAUAAAAAGAAAUAGGCCAUCGGUUUGGUUGUUUUCAAUAGGCUACAGCCUAGAUUCUGCAUAGUCAACAGCUAAGAUUGGCUUCCAAAGUGAUUUAUGACAAUGGCAAUCCAACAUACAGUCUUUCAGCUAUGAAGACUUCAUAUCCCAAGGAAUUUCUUGCCCAUCCAUGCAUCCUAGAGCUCAUGAUCUGAAAAU